GAUCAUGGCUCAGGAUGAACGCUAGCUACAGGCUUAACACAUGCAAGUCGAGGGGCAGCAUGACGAUAGUCUUGCUAUUGUUGAUGGCGACCGGCGCACGGGUGAGUAACGCGUAUCCAACCUUCCCGUUUGCUAGGGGAUAACCUUGCGAAAGUAAGACUAAUACCCUAUGAAGUUCUUCGCAGGCAUCUAAAGAGAACGAAAGUAUUUAUCGGCAACGGAUGGGG
rnacentral:rRNA from 1 species